CGGCUGGCGUGUGAAGGAACUAAAUGAGUGCAAGACUCUGUUUGCUUAGCGAGUGUAUUAUGAUAUAAUAUGAAGCUUACAUGUUGCGCAUUACAACCUCACCUCUCAAUAAACGAUGAUCAUUGUAAUGUUUGCCUGGAUAGCACAAUACUGGGGAUCUGAGAGUACAUGAAAAUGGGAACCAGUGGAGAAGGAACCAAAUUUCAGUGCAAGCUUGUAGGAAUAACAGGUGUUGCUAGCCCAGAGGGUGGGGAGAUGUGUGCUGAGGCUUUAAAGAAAUUAAAG